UACGGAGGGGGCUAGCGUUGUUCGGAAUUACUGGGCGUAAAGCGCACGUAGGCGGCUUUGCAAGUUAGAGGUGAAAGCCCAGGGCUUAACCCUGGAAUUGCCUUUAAAACUGCAUCGCUAGAAUUGUGGAGAGGUAAGUGGAAUUCCGAGUGUAGAGGUGAAAUUCGUAGAUAUUCGGAAGAACACCAGUGGCGAAGGCGACUUACUGGACACAUAUUGACGCUGAGGUGCGAAAGCGUGGGGAGCAAACAGG
rnacentral:rRNA from 1 species